UUACGUCCACAUCACUUUGAAACCCCGCUUCCCGUACGAUCACCGAAGUGAAGCUACGUCGAGCCUAGUCAGUACCUAGAUGGGAAUAUCGGGUGUAACUUUUGGGAAUACAAAGUGUUGUAA